AACGUAGGUGGCAAGCGUUAUCCGGAUUCACUGGGCGUAAAGGGCACGCAGGUGGUAUGGUAGGUAGGGCAUGAAACCUCCCGGCUUAACUGGGAGCGGUUGUCCUAAACCACCGUACUUGAGGCUGAGAGAGGGAAGUGGAAUUGCCGGUGUAGUGGUGAAAUGCGUAGAUAUCGGCAGGAACACCAGUGGCGAAGGCGGCUUCCUGGCUCAGACCUGACACUCAUGUGCGAAAGCUAGGGUAGCGAACGGG
rnacentral:rRNA from 1 species